CAGCCGCCACGGUAAUACGUAGGGUGCGAGCGUUAAUCGGAAUUACUGGGCGUAAAGCGUGCGCAGGCGGUUGUGUAAGACAGGUGUGAAAUCCCCGGGCUUAACCUGGGAACUGCGCUUGUGACUGCACAGCUAGAGUAUGGCAGAGGGGGGUGGAAUUCCACGUGUAGCAGUGAAAUGCGUAGAGAUGUGGAGGAACACCGAUGGCGAAGGCAGCCCCCUGGGCCAAUACUGACGCUCAUGCACGAAAGCUAGGGGAGCAAACAGGAUUAGAUACCCGAGUAGUCCCUGUCUCUUAUAC
rnacentral:rRNA from 1 species